rnacentral:rRNA from 1 species
CCUACGGGAGGCAGCAGUAGGGAAUAUUGCUCAAUGGGGGAAACCCUGAAGCAGCAACGCCGCGUGGAGGAUGAAGGUUUUCGGAUUGUAAACUCCUUUUGUUAGAGAAGAUAAUGACGGUAUCUAACGAAUAAGCACCGGCUAACUCCGUGCCAGCAGCCGCGGUAAUACGGAGGGUGCAAGCGUUACUCGGAAUCACUGGGCGGAAAGAGCGCGUAGGCGGGUUAGCAAGUCAGAUGUGAAAUCCUAUGGCUUAACCAUAGAACUGCAUUUGAAACUGUUAUUCUAGAGUAUGGGAGAGGGAGGUGGAAUUCGUGGUGUAGGGGUAAAAUCCGUAGAGAUCAAGAAGAAUACUCAUUGCGAAGGCGACCUGCUAGAACAAAACUGACGCUGAUGCGCGAAAGCGUGGGGAGCAAACAGGAUUAGAUACCCGAGUAGUC